AGUGGACGUGUGUCUCUUUGCCUCAGUGUAGCUUUUGAGUGUGUAAAUUCCUUGUUACCAUGUUUCUUUCAUCGCAAGUUCACUAAGGCUCCGAUUGGUGACAAAAAAAAGAACAAUAGGAACAGGAAAAAAAAGGAAUGAAAAGGAACAAAAAGGAAAGGAAAAUGAUCAAAACCAGGAACCAAAAGGAACAUAAGAAUUGUUAUGGGAUCUCUAGCAGUUACUUCAAAAUUAGCACAUCGAGGGAUCCAAUGUGACUUUCUCUGUAAAAGAUGUGAGAUGGCAGAGGAAACAAUAAAUCAUGCUUUAUUUGAGUGCACUCAUUCUCAGAAAAUAUGGGAAUUAUCAGAUAUACCUACGGCAAUAGGUAGUUUUCCUCUAACCUCGGAAUUCUCAAAUCUAGAUUAUCUUUAUUGGAGGUUACCAUCUAAUCUAGAUGGGGGAGAGAAAACUUUCAGUUAUGCUUGGAUUUUGUGGUUCAUCUGGAAAGAUAGGAAUAAAAAGGUUUUCAAGGGAUUACAAUCUGAACCCAGAGAUAUUUUAAAUCAUGCUUUGAGUGAAAAAUUAAUGUGGGAAGAAGCUCAGUUGGAUCCGAUCGAAACUAGUUCUACUACGGAAACUUUGGAACGACCGGUUCAAUCUAUAAGAUGUCGGAUUGAUGGUUCUUGGAAAAAUUCAGAUCCAACAAUGGGUAUAGGAUGGUGGUGUUUUCAAGGAAAUGAUCAAACGAUACUGCUCGGUGCAAAGUGCCUUCGGAGGUAUCCCUCCCCUCUUCACUCGGAGAUGGAAGCUUUAAUUUGGGCUAUGAAGAAUAUCCUUUCAAGAGGGAUCGAUUGUCAGGUGUUUGAAUCAGACUGCUCGGAGUUAGUCUCGAUGAUACACUCACCGGAUGAAUGGCCUGCUUUCUCCAAUCUUCUAGACGAGUUUGGUUUUCUCCGUCUCUCUUUCCCUUUCUUCUCGCUUUCUCUUAUUUCUCAUUUAUGUAAUGUUCAAGCGGACUGCUUAGCUCGUUCUUCUAGACUUUUAUUUUCUGAAGUUACUUUUGUAAACUCUACUCCUCCUAAUUGGGCAACCAAUCAAGGAAUUAUUUAUUAAUUAAUGUGUGGUUGACAAAAAAAAAAAAAGGAACAUAAGAAUUGAACAAAUGAUUUUCGUAAAUGGUAACCAAAAAAUUGAACAAAUAUUUAACAUAAUAAUUAUUAAAAAUUAUGUAUUUUAUUUAGUUUACAAAAUUUUAUUUAAAAUUAAUUUUUUAUUUUAAUUUAAAACGAAAUAUAGUAUAAAUUCAAAUAUUUUAUUUUAAAAUAAUAUAAAUUUCACUUAAAAGCAUUUAUUUAUAUAUUUUAGUAUAAAUACUAAUUUAAAACAAAGUCAUAAGAUUCAUUUAAAUUAAAGUUUUGAUAAAAGUUUUUUAUACAUAAAUAUAUAAUAAAAAUAUAGGAAUUAUUUAUGUAUAAAAAUGUAAAUAUUAUCAAAAAAGCUAUUUUAAAAUUAUUUAAAAAUUAAAAACGAAUUUAAAAUUUUUGUUCCUUAUUGUUCCUCUACAAUUUUGGGGAGGAACAAUUUUGUUCUAUCAUUCUUUUUUUUUUUGAGAAAUGAAGAGGAAAAAUGUAUGACCCACAUGUCUGAAAAUGGAACAAAAAUUCUUUAUAAAUGGUAAAAAAAAAUGAGGAACAAAAAGAACAUGACAUUCUUACUCAUUCUUUUCCUCAAAAUUGGUUACCAAUCGGAGCCAAACUCUUAUAAGAACAUCGCCUUCUUGUCCGGUUUACAAGGAUUAGAUUAAUAGUAUUAAGAUUUUAAGAACCUGGAAGCUUGAUAGACCAGUUUCACUCAACUUGUGAAACAUUAUUUACCGGUCAAGACCCAUAAUACAAUUUUAAAACUGUGGAUUUACUAUU
rnacentral:lncRNA from 1 species